AAAAGCAAGUACAGAACGGCAGCAAUGGUCAAUCUGGUUUUCACCUUUCUCUGCUUCAGCAACUCUCUCCGUUUGUUGCAGUUGUCACAGGGGUCCACCUUCAAACUCAGCUGACUGUUGCUCAAAGGAUCACUUGUACUGGGGGAAGCCAGAGCUACCAGGUCAUGAGGAAAGCCCAAGUGAUGAAGAACUGAGGCCUCCUGUCAACAGCCAUGUGAGUGAGCCGUAUUGGAAGUGGAUCCUCCAGCCCUCGUGAAGCCUUCCCAUUACAGCAGCCUUGGCCAUGUUCACUGAAACCUCAUGAGAGAUCCUGGGCAGAAACACCCAGCAUGAAGAGCUUUUUUGCAUGGGAAAAUGAAAAAGUUGCCAACCAUUUGGCCCAUCGCUUAACCAGGACGGAUGAAAGCUAUUGGAUGCAUAUGAACAAGGGCUACUGAUGUGAUACACAACUAUGGACCUCUGAGCUGCUGCUUCAGCUAACACUCCUGCGGCAACCCCAUUCUGUCAGAUCUCUUCCGGGUUGAAACCUGAGAAGCAGUAGAGCAUGAAGAGGAUUCCUGACUGUGGUUUGACCUGUCUGUUCAACUCUCUGUUUGGCUAGCACCAGCUUCAGGAAUGACCAAGAUAGCUAAAGGGAAAGGCACUAAUGCUACCUCUAUGAUUUACCAGUUGUUUUUCAAAGGCAUGAUUUAAUUUGAUCCUCUUAAAGAUCUGUAAGGUAGUUGUUAUUCCUAUGUGAAGAGAUAAGACACUAGGGCACUGUGAGGGUAAGUAAUGUGUUUGUAGUCAGAGUUAAUUGGCAGGAGGACAUGAUAUGAGCUGAGGUAUUCUGUCUCCUGGAGGAGCUUAUCUGUAUCUAAAUCCAAGUUAUUACUAAACUACUAUAUUUCUAUAAUUAAAACCUUGUUUGUAGCAACCACACUGUGUUACCACAAAAGGUGACUCAUUAUUAGCAGAAGAUUGAGAUCGUUCAAUAGCCAAAUGCCAUAUUUUGUUUUCAUUCAUAUGUUGAAUUUAUUAAUUUAAACCAGAAAUUCCAAAUUUUUUAUCAGGAGGAGUCAAUAUAUAAUAUCUACAGUUGACAAAUCA